rnacentral:rRNA from 14 species
GGCUGACCCCAUGGAUUUACCCAGAACCGCAUCAGGUCUCCAAGGU